rnacentral:rRNA from 1 species
UACGUAGGGGGCAAGCGUUGUCCGGAUUUAUUGGGCGUAAAGAGCGUGUAGGCGGCUUUACAGGUCCGUUGUGAAAACUCGAGGCUCAACCUCGAGACGCCGGUGGAAACCGUAAGGCUAGAGUCCGGAAGAGGAGAGUGGAAUUCCUGGUGUAGCGGUGAAAUGCGCAGAUAUCAGGAGGAACACCCGUGGCGAAAGCGGCUCUCUGGGACGGUACUGACGCUGAGGCGCGAAAGCUAGGGGAGCAAACGGG